rnacentral:rRNA from 1 species
GCAAAACGCGAAGAACCUUACCUACUCUUGACAUCCACGGAACUUAGCAGAGAUGCUUUGGUGCCUUCGGGAACCGUGAGACAGGUGCUGCAUGGCUGUCGUCAGCUCGUGUUGUGAAAUGUUGGGUUAAGUCCCGCAACGAGCGCAACCCUUAUCCUUUGUUGCCAGCGGUCCGGCCGGGAACUCAAAGGAGACUGCCAGUGAUAAACUGGAGGAAGGUGGGAAUGACGUCAAGUCAUCAUGGCCCUUACGAGUAGGGCUACCACACGUGCUACAAUGGCGCAUACAAAGAGAAGCGACCUCGCGAGAGCAAGCGGACCUCAUAAAGUGCGUCGUAGUCCGGAUUGGAGUCUGCAACUCGACUCCAUGAAGUCGGAAUCGCUAGUAAUCGUAGAUCAGAAUGCUACGGUGAAUACGUUCCCGGGUCUUGUACACACCG